rnacentral:rRNA from 1 species
GAGUUUGAUCAUGGCUCAGGAUGAACGCUAGCGGCAGGCUUAAUACAUGCAAGUCGAGGGGCAGCACGGGUAGCAAUAUCUGGUGGCGACCGGCGCACGGGUGCGUAACACGUAUACAAUCUACCCUUAACAGGGGGAUAGCCCUCCGAAAGGAGGAUUAAUACCCCAUAAUAAAUUGAAUGGCAUCAUUUGAUUUUGAAAGUUCCGACGGUUAAGGAUGAGUAUGCGUCUGAUUAGCUAGUUGGUGAGGUAAAGGCUCACCAAGGCAACGAUCAGUAGGGGAUCUGAGAGGACUACCCCCCACACUGGUACUGAGACACGGACCAGACUCCUACGGGAGGCAGCAGUAAGGAAUAUUGGUCAAUGGAGGCAACUCUGAACCAGCCAUGCCGCGUGCAGGAAGACGGCCCUAUGGGUUGUAAACUGCUUUUGUACGGGAGAAAACCCUUUCACGUGUGAGAGGUUGAUAGUACCGUAAGAAUAAGCAUCGGCUAACUUCGUGCCAGCAGCCGCGGUAAGACGAAGGAUGCAAGCGUUAUCCGGAUUCAUUGGGUUUAAAGGGAGCGUAGGUGGACUUGUAAGUCAGUGGUGAAAUCUCUCAGCUUAACUGAGAAACUGCCAUUGAUACUGCAGGUCUUGAGUACAGAUGAUGUGGGCGGAAUAUGACAUGUAGUGGUGAAAUACUUAGAUAUGUCAUAGAACACCGAUUGCGAAGGCAGCUCACAAAACUGUAACUGACACUGAGGCUCGAAAGUGCGGGGAUCAAACAGGAUUAGAUACCCUGGUAGUCCGCACCGUAAACGAUGAUUACUCGUUGUUAGCGAUAUGACAGUUAGCGACCAAGCGAAAGCGAUAAGUAAUCCACCUGGGGAGUACGCCGGCAACGGUGAAACUCAAAGGAAUUGACGGGGGCCCGCACAAGCGGAGGAGCAUGUGGUUUAAUUCGAUGAUACGCGAGGAACCUUACCUGGGCUUGAAAGUUAGUGACCGUCUCUGAAAGGAGAUUUUCCGCAAGGACACGAAACUAGGUGCUGCAUGGCUGUCGUCAGCUCGUGCCGUGAGGUGUUGGGCUAAGUCCCGCAACGAGCGCAACCCCUACCAUUAGUUACCAGCGAGUAAUGUCGGGAACUCUAAUGGAACUGCCCGUGCAAACGGUGAGGAAGGUGGGGAUGACGUCAAGUCAUCACGGCCCUUACGUCCAGGGCUACACACGUGCUACAAUGGCCGGUACAACGGGCAGCUACACAGCGAUGUGAUGCUAAUCUCUAAAAACCGGUCUCAGUUCGGAUUGAAGUCUGCAACUCGACUUCAUGAAGCUGGAUUCGCUAGUAAUCGCGCAUCAGCAAUGGCGCGGUGAAUACGU